AAGGCUUGACAUCCCGAUGACCGGCGUCGAAAUACGCCUUCUCUUCGGAGCAUCGGUGACAGGUGGUGCAUGGUUGUCGUCAGCUCGUGUCGUGAGAUGUUGGGUUAAGUCCCGCAACGAGCGCAACCCUUAUGACUAGUUGCCAACAGGUAAAGCUGGGAACUCUAGUGAGACUGCCGGGGACAACUCGGAGGAAGGUGGGGACGACGUCAAAUCAUCAUGCCCCUUACGUCUUGGGCUACACACGUGCUACAAUGGUCGGUACAAAGAGCAGCGAGCUUGUAAGAGUAAGCGAAUCUCAAAAAGCCGGUCUCAGUUCGGAUUGUGGGCUGCAACCCGCCCACAUGAAGUUGGAGUUGCUAGUAAUCGCGAAUCAGCAUGUCGCGGUGAAUGCGUUCCCGGGCC
rnacentral:rRNA from 1 species